UUGGAGGGCAAGUCUGGUGCCAGCAGCCGCGGUAAUUCCAGCUCCAAUAGCGUAUAUUAAAGUUGUUGCAGUUAAAAAGCUCGUAGUUGAAUUUCGGGAUCAAUUUAUCGGUCGUGCCUCUGGUAUGCACUGGUAUUAUUGAUUUCUACCUUCUGACGAACCAUGAUGUCAUUAAUUUGGUGUCAUGGGGAAUCAGGACUGUUACUUUGAAAAAAUUAGAGUGUUUAAAGCAAGCACACGCUUGAAUACAUUAGCAUGGAAUAAUGAAAUAGGACGUUUGACCCUAUUUUGUUGGUUUCUAGGAUCGACGUAAUGAUUAAUAGGGAUAGUUGGGGGCAUUAGUAUUCAAUUGUCAGAGGUGAAAUUCUUGGAUUUAUUGAAGACUAACUACUGCGAAAGCAUUUGCCAAGGAUGUUUUCAUUAAUCAAGAACGAAAGUUAGGGGAUCGAAGACGAUCAGAUACCGUCGUAGUCUUAACCAUAAACUAUGCCGACUAGGGAUCGGAUGAUGUUAAUUUUUAAUGACUCAUUCGGCGCCUUACGGGAAAC
rnacentral:rRNA from 1 species